GUUUGAUCAUGGCUCAGAUUGAACGCUGGCGGCAGGCCUAACACAUGCAAGUCGAGCGGAUGAAGGGAGCUUGCUCCUGGAUUCAGCGGCGGACGGGUGAGUAAUGCCUAGGAAUCUGCCUGGUAGUGGGGGAUAACGUCCGGAAACGGGCGCUAAUACCGCAUACGUCCUGAGGGAGAAAGUGGGGGAUCUUCGGACCUCACGCUAUCAGAUGAGCCUAGGUCGGAUUAGCUAGUUGGUGGGGUAAAGGCCUACCAAGGCGACGAUCCGUAACUGGUCUGAGAGGAUGAUCAGUCACACUGGAACUGAGACACGGUCCAGACUCCUACGGGAGGCAGCAGUGGGGAAUAUUGGACAAUGGGCGAAAGCCUGAUCCAGCCAUGCCGCGUGUGUGAAGAAGGUCUUCGGAUUGUAAAGCACUUUAAGUUGGGAGGAAGGGCAGUAAGUUAAUACCUUGCUGUUUUGACGUUACCAACAGAAUAAGCACCGGCUAACUUCGUGCCAGCAGCCGCGGUAAUACGAAGGGUGCAAGCGUUAAUCGGAAUUACUGGGCGUAAAGCGCGCGUAGGUGGUUCAGCAAGUUGGAUGUGAAAUCCCCGGGCUCAACCUGGGAACUGCAUCCAAAACUACUGAGCUAGAGUACGGUAGAGGGUGGUGGAAUUUCCUGUGUAGCGGUGAAAUGCGUAGAUAUAGGAAGGAACACCCGUGGCGAAGGCGACCACCUGGACUGAUACUGACACUGAGGUGCGAAAGCGUGGGGAGCAAACAGGACUAGAUACCCUGGUAGUCCACGCCGUAAACGAUGUCGACUAGCCGUUGGGAUCCUUGAGAUCUUAGUGGCGCAGCUAACGCGAUAAGUCGACCGCCUGGGGAGUACGGCCGCAGGGUUAAAACUCAAAUGAAUUGACGGGGGCCCGCACACGCGGUGGAGCAUGUGGUUUAAUUCGAAGCAACGCGAAGAACCUUACCUGGCCUUGACAUGCUGAGAACUUUCCAGAGAUGGAUUGGUGCCUUCGGGAACUCAGACACAGGUGCUGCAUGGCCGUCGUCAGCUCGUGUCGUGAGAUGUUGGGUUAAGUCCCGUAACGAGCGCAACCCUUGUCCUUAGUUACCAGCACCUCGGGUGGGCACUCUAGGAGACUGCCGGUGACAAACCGGAGGAAGGUGGGGAUGACGUCAUGUCAUCAUGGCCCUUACGGCCAGGGCUACACACGUGCUACAAUGGUCGGUACAAAGGGUUGCCAAGCCGCGAGGUGGAGCUAAUCCCAUAAAACCGAUCGUAGUCCGGAUCGCAGUCUGCAACUCGACUGCGUGAAGUCGGAAUCGCUAGUAAUCGUGAGUCAGAAUGUCACGGUGAAUACGUUCCCGGGCCUUGUACACACCGCCCGUCACACCAUGGGAGUGGGUUGCUCCAGAAGUAGCUAGUCUAACCGCAAGGGGGACGGUUACCACGGAGUGAUUCAUGACUGGGGUGAAGUCGUAACAAGGUA
rnacentral:rRNA from 1 species